CUCAUCUGUUGCCACGUUGCUUUGUGGGCUGCCUUAACCCCCUCUGUCUUGUUUUCUUUUCUCUCUCCCUUGCCUCUCCUUCUCCCUUCAUCCUUUUCUCUUUCAAGGUUUGCUGUCAUCUCCCAUGGCGUCGGUGCGGCCCCGCCGUUUUCCCCGGCAAAAAACUAUCGGCUUUCUUGAUGUUUUAAGGUUAAUGUUAGUGUUAAAAAAUCUGAUUUUGGAUCUGUUGAGCUAGAAUUUGAUCUCGAUCGCGUUUUCUAGGGUUUCUACUUCUAGAUCUUUUGAUUGGCUGAUGCGGAGGUGAAAGCAACGAGCUUCAAGUUGCUUCAAGUUCAAGGUUUCUCUCCUUGACUCUUUCCCUUUCUCCUCUGUUGAUUACGUUUUUUAGGGUUUAUGAUAUCAAUUUUCUUCAUUUUCUCUACACACGCACUCUCCUUCUCUCAGCCAUUCGAGCCAUCUAUCUCUAGGGUUUUGAACUUUCAUUUUCUGUUUUCAUAACUCUGUCCAUCAACUACCAUUCUCACUCCUAAAUAUCAAUUUCAAUUCGUAACUCUAAAUUCUUACAAAGUGAUCGAUGAACUUCUGAAGAUUUCUGCAAAAUUAGGGUUUUAAUUCUUCAGAACACGGUCAGAUCUUCGCGAAUUUCUAUCAAUUUGAUGAAAGUUGAUUGUUGAUGAGAUUCUGUAUGGCCAUCCCCCAACGAAGUAUUUCAAAGUAACAAUGAUCCGGGACUAUGGAUUUCGUUUCAUGUGAUGUAUAGUUAUUGCAGGAGUUUCUUGGUUUCAGCUAGGCGCAAAAAGUAUUGAGCUCACAAAGAAUGUAAACCAAUUAUCUAAAAACCAUAAGUUUAUCUGCUACUGGGUAUUUUCAAUGAUCGAAGAUCCAAAAAAAAUCAUGGUAAUUGAGGAAGAAGAGAUUGCAAAAGCGACAGUUCCAAAGUUUGUUAAUUGUUCUGCUUCUGCUACAGGUGCUUCUAUGGAUGACCACCACCAUUAUCAGCAACAGCAACAAAAACUUAGUUCAGCUAUCACUUUCAAUGGGGUCAUAAUUCCUGUUGAUUUGCCUCUAAAAGACAAAUUCACAGAUGAAUGAGUCCUUAUAUCACCAAUUUCAGAUACUCGGAGCCUAUGAAAGAGGCAUUAUUGUUCAAAAGUCACAAAUUCACAAUUUUGACAACAAUAAUAAGGCUACUGCAUAUGCAAGUACAUAAGUGAUCCCAUUUCAAGAGGUGAAACACAUAGAUUUUGGCACUGAAAUUACCCUUUUAGGCAGAUCCACAACCUCAAGGUGUCACACACCCUUCAAGAGUUCCUUGCCUGCCCGUCACAACACUCCGGCUAGCCGGUCUGGCCCACUAGCAUUGAUGCCCACUAGCCCAAUUAACAUGACUCAAUUACAAGAGUGUCAUUUUGCCAAGCUCCAAAUUGGAUCAACCCCAUUUGAUUCACUUACGACUAAUUGGAGCUUCAAAGAAGAGGAAGAGGAGAUAUCCAAGAGUUUAAGGCAUUUGAAAUUGGUAGGAGGAGUGUUUCUGUUUCUGAGUCCAGGGCUUGUGCUUGGGAAGAAGAGGAGAAGACCAAAUUUUGUCUUAGGGUUUUUUGACAGGGGUGAGACGGAGCUUGAACCAUAGUCCAAUUUCCAAAGGCCAACGUCCAUUACUAACUUCUUUGAUCCUCUCUAGCACCUUAUGCCCGCGUGGCAACCCUGUGUUCUGCAGCCCCGCCGCACUUCUCCCAUUGCCAAUCUGGGCGGUAUUUUGUUCCGAAGCUCGUUGACAGGGCUCGCAUUUCUGUUUGAGAUUUGCUUUAGCUAGCAUUUUUUGUUGCAACAAUUUCUCCGAGGUUCACUUUAAUGAUUUACUCUAUUGUUUGUUUUUUUGUUUGUUUGUUCAAUCAGGAGCAUCAUUUUCUAGGUGUUUCAGUCCUUCUAUCGCACUAAUUGAUCUAUGUUGCUUUUUAUCUAAUCGGCGUAAGGAUGGAACUUGUAUUAUCAUUUCAUAGAUAAUGAAGCUGGAUGUUCUACCCAGCUGAUCGAUGUGGGCUUUCAUAUAAUCAUAUGUCGUAUUUUACAUCGUGAGUCCACAAAGUAGUGGUAAUGUCCUGACCGUCCCAAGUACAUGGGCCCCUUCUCAGAGCAGACCACGUCAUACCUUACUGGUGAAAUCCCCAUCAUGGGAUACUGCUGGACUAUCAGAAGACCCCUGAAACCUUCGCCAGGAACCGUGAGGCGUGAGCUCAAGGUCAUCAACUCUAGGUGGGAUAUGCUUGGUGCCCUGCGCUGUGUAUUCCCCGAACACUUGUCAAGGAGCGAUGUCAGAUUGGGUGAAGUCGCAUGGUUUAAGGACGGAUCCCUAAUAGGGUACCCAAUACUUGAUACCAGAUUUUCGCUUGUCUGCCGAAGUUAAAACACAACACCGUUGGUUGUCUGCAUCAGCCAUCCAAUUAAACAUGUUGAAGAAUUAGUAAGUCUUACUACCUCUCUACUUCUCUUGUGUUUUUUUACAACGUGUUUAUUGUGUGAUGCAUUAUUGCUUUUCAAUUAUCACCUUUAAUGUGUUCUAUAGGCCUGUCCCUGUGUGCAAAAUAGAUUGUAGUGUAGCUCAAUUGUUGUUCUUGUUAUCAGUUACAACUUCUUGGAAACCUCUGUAUAUUGUUCGUUAUGAUUGUUAAGUUUUGUGUAUAUGAUCAUUCAAUUCAACUCAGUUUCUGGUCAACUAUUCUUUGAUUCAAUUUCCUAUUUUGUGCUGGUACUUUUAAUCAACCUGUAAAUUCUUGCACCUCCAAUUUCCUCAUAGCAUCUGUAUCACGGGUUUAUAUAUGGCUUCCACAAGACCGAAUCAUUUGCAUCUCUGCUGAUCUAACUUUUUGUUCACGCAUUUAGGAUAUUAAAUUUGGCUCUUGAUUGAGACUAUUUUCUUAUCUUUUUGGGUGGGCAGAUGGUUAUAUUGGGAAGAGCCUCAAAUGGUUAAGUAGAAAGGGAACUUGCAUGCCUUGCAACUUUGGUAAUUCGACAAUAACUUGAAAGUCAUCUCAGGACACAAUAGAAACUGAAAUUCAUUGUGUAUUUCCAGAAAGUUAAACGAGCUUAUUGUAUUACCUAUUCAGUAGGGCCAAGCUUACUUUCUCCAAGACUUCUUACUAGGUUUCAUGAAUGCAGAGACUAGAAGUGCAUGUAAGAAAAUGAACAAGGCUCUCUUGGAAGAUAAGAGAAAAAAUCAAAAGUCGAAUAACUGCCAUCAGGAAAAAUAUGUGGGGGGUAAUUAACUGGUCUUUAUGUCUCACUUUUGGCGUAUAUGAUAUAGUGCAUAGUAAACAUUUAACCAGGCACCCAAAUAGUGGUGGAUUUUUCAAUGUACCUUGGUGAUUCAUAUAUUUGUUUUGUGAUUGAAUUUUCAAAUGUGAAGUAUAUUCUUCUUGUGCUCCUGAAGUUCACAAGAGUUGAACGUCAUAAGAUUUUGAACCACAUUGUUCAUAGAGUACACUGCAGGAAACGUCCUUAAUAAUGACCGUGCAGCUCCAAUUGUUAGGAGACUAGGCGUGUUGGGACUUGGGACCAAUUCUUAUACACCCUCUACCUCCUUUCCUCUUACAUAGGGAGGGGUUGUUUGUUGGAUGCUUACCUAAUAUGUAUGCCGGAGUUUACAUCUCGCAUAAACUCUUGUCUGAUUAACAUAGUUAUAUAUUCAGGUGAAUUUGCAAGCUUAGCUUCAUGUACCUUAUUUUGGGGGAUCAGGGUUCUGUUUUUAAUUUUUGGGAAAUUCUUCAUAUAUGCUUUUCAAGAGAUACACUCUUCUUAUUCUUUUUUUUUUUCUUUGUUAAUUUGUGAGCUCAGUCUCACUUAUUCUGUUACUCAGAAGUCAAUCCGAUUCCAUCAGUUUGUGUAUAUUUUUCUGCGUGUGCGGGUGAUGGCAUCUUUUGGUUAAACUCUUUAUGAUUUAUAACUUGUUUGAUUAUCUCCUUUUUUUUCUGUAUGUAUCAGCAGAAGAGAUCCCAUGAGUGAUAAAAUAUAGUAAUUUUGUUUUAUCUAUCUGCAUCCCCUAUUUUGUUUACUUUUUAAAUUUUUGGGCUCUACCUAGAUAUGAUCAGGGAUGGGUUGCGACUUUGGUGUUGUAAUGUCCUUAUUUGAUUGAAUAAGUUCACAUUGUUGCGGGCUUCCCACUGUCAUGUUCAAAGCCUAAUUAUUACCAAAAUUGUUGAGCUUUGCAAAGAUUGGCAGGUUGUCUUAAGCUCAUGGUGAAUUAGUUGAUGCGUUGAGCGGUUGAGGUAUUUCAUUGAGGUAAAAAUGAUCAAGAACAAUAACUUAAGCUAACUGCCAUGGUUUCAUUUUAGAUACGAAGAGGAAUCCAUGGUUUCCAAACCUGAAAUGCGUCAGGAACUUGGUCCAUUUAUAAUCACUAGGCAAGGCAUUAUCAAGUCAGAAACAUUUAAAUAGAAGAAAUUCUCAACUGCAUUUUCUAUAAUUCUGCAUAUAACUCUGAGUCUCUGAUAUUCUGAAUUGUUUAUCAGGUGUUAAUGAAUACGGAUUAGCUUUCGUCCCUCACUGCAUCAAAAUGAAGAUCAGUGACAGUUUGACAGUUAUAUCCUGCACAUUUUAAGUGGUCUGAGAAUCAAAAUGAAGGUCUUUAAGACAAGAUCGUGUGUUAAUGAGGACUAGAUAUCAAUAUUGUAUAAUACCCCCUCAAUACAUGUAAUUAUGUAAAUGAGUCUGUUGAAGCUUGCUCGUGAUCAAUAAUAGCUUGGCAGCUGGUUAUAUCACGCACAUUUAAACAGGUCCAACUAUUUGUCAUGAAGAAGAGAUGGAUAAAUGUUACUGAAGUUAGAAGACUCACUUUUCAAACUGGAAUUAAACAGUUGGUUGUAGCUAGCACAAAGUAAAUCAUUUGCUGCAUUGAUGCUGCUGAAGUACUGCUCUGCUUUCUUUGGGAGUUGACAGACUGCUAAUAAAGGCUCGUCUUCUUAACUAUACCACCUAAAAAGCACUGUUUAUAAUGCUUUCAUGUUUCUGCUCAUUGUGCUUUAGCUGCAAUUAUUAUAGUAGUAUAUGCCUGUUAAGUUUUUGUUUAUUUGUUCGGAUGAUGGGGAUAUUUCCUUUUCAAAGUUCUGAUUUUGGAACAUUGUUGUAUCAU